ACAGUCACGUCGUUUGUGGCUGAAAAGCUCACCGUUGUGAGUUGUCUAAGACUAAAGGAACAAAUCGAUG
rfam:Erwinia tasmaniensis strain ET1/99 complete chromosome.